GAUGAACGCUGGCGGCGUGCCUAAUACAUGCAAGUCGAGCGAACGGACGAGAAGCUUGCUUCUCUGAUGUUAGCGGCGGACGGGUGAGUAACACGUGGAUAACCUACCUAUAAGACUGGGAUAACUUCGGGAAACCGGAGCUAAUACCGGAUAAUAUUUUGAACCGCAUGGUUCAAAAGUGAAAGACGGUCUUGCUGUCACUUAUAGAUGGAUCCGCGCUGCAUUAGCUAGUUGGUAAGGUAACGGCUUACCAAGGCAACGAUGCAUAGCCGACCUGAGAGGGUGAUCAGCCACACUGGAACUGAGACACGGUCCAGACUCCUACGGGAGGCAGCAGUAGGGAAUCUUGCACAAUGGGCGAAAGCCUGACGGAGCAACGCCGCGUGAGUGAUGAAGGUCUUCGGAUCGUAAAACACUGUUAUUAGGGAAGAACAUAUGUGUAAGUAACUGUGCACAUCUUGACGGUACCUAAUCAGAAAGCCACGGCUAACUACGUG
rnacentral:rRNA from 1 species